rnacentral:rRNA from 1 species
GACGUAGGGCGCGAGCGUUGUCCGGAAUUACUGGGCGUAAAGCGCACGUAGGCGGCUCUUUAAGUCAGGGGUGAAAUCCUGGAGCUCAACUCCAGAACUGCCUUUGAUACUGAGGACCUUGAGUUCGGGAGAGGUGAGUGGAACUGCGAGUGUAGAGGUGAAAUUCGUAGAUAUUCGCAAGAACACCAGUGGCGAAGGCGGCUCACUGGCCCGAUACUGACGCUGAGGUGCGAAAGCGUGGGGAGCAAACAGG